rnacentral:sRNA from 1 species
AGCACUUCGCCAUAAAAGCCAUAAAAAGUUUGGCUGGAAUUGGGAAAGCACAAAAAGUCAUCAUGCGGCCAUAAUUUAGACAUAAAAACACAAUAGGCUCUGCCCUUUAGGUAUAGCCAAACACAAAGUAAAGACAUAUAUAUAUUUAUAUUGUGUUUAUUGACAAUCAGCAGCCAUUAAAAUGCCAAGUCCGACAAAACAACAAAUAGAAAAGAAAAUUAGUCUUUCCAUGUCCUUGGAGGGGAGAAAUUUCAAGUUCAUGACUUCAAAAUGGAAAAAUCGCCAGAAUAUGAAUCAAUAAAAGUUCAAGUAUCAAAGGUCGACACUUGAAUUAAUGCUGCGGUGUACCGUCAAGCAAAACUAAUCUGCGAAACAAAUCAAAUGAGAUUGUGAAAUUAGCUUACAGCUAAAAACGAAAACCAAGUCAACCAAGCGGCAACUUACAAUGCCAGUGGUUAAAACAAGGUUGUCGGAAUGAGUUCUUCGGCAUAGACAUCGUAUGUAAAAUCUUAUGUAUUCAACUUGUUAAUGAGUUUUACGAAUUGUGUUGCCUUCGCGUGCAACGUGGGCCAACUAACUGAAUCUCAAUUAUAGCUCAUUUAAGCUCAGGUUCUUCAUUACCAGCAAUUAAA